GAUGAACGCUAGCUACAGGCCUAACACAUGCAAGUCGAGGGUCCGGCGCACGGGUGAGUAACCCGUAUCACACCUGCCUUUUACUCGGUGACAGCCUUUCGCAAGAACGAUUACUACCUGAUAUAAUGGACGGGGAUGCGUUACAUUAGGUUGUUGGUGAGGUAACGCCCAACCAAGCCUUCGCUGGAUAGGGGUUCGGAGAGGCAGGUCCCCCACACUGGAACUGCGGCACAGUCCAAAAUGCGACGGGAGGCAGGAGUGAGGAAUAUUGGGCAAUGGGGGCUAGCCUGAACCAGCCAAGUAGCGUGAAGGGGGAAGGGUUAUGGGUCGUAAACUUCUGGUGUAGAAGAAUAGGUAUUAUAUGAAUAAGGAUCGGCUAACUCCGUGCCAGCAGCCGCGGUAAUUC
rnacentral:rRNA from 1 species